AUCACUUCUCGGCCUUUUGGCUAAGAUCAAGUGUAGUAUCAAAUAGAUAAGUAAGUCUUUAAGAAAAAAGUCAUCACCAAGGUGAGUGUUUGGCACAGCACUUAAGUUGCCACUUGAGAUGCCUGCACCCCCU
ensembl:snRNA U2 U2 spliceosomal RNA